rnacentral:rRNA from 1 species
GACGUAGGGCGCGAGCGUUGUCCGGAUUUAUUGGGCGUAAAGAGCUCGUAGGCGGCUCGUUGCGUCGGCUGUGAAAACCCGCAGCUCAACUGUGGGCUUGCAGCCGAUACGGGCGGGCUGGAGUUCGGUAGGGGAGACUGGAAUUCCUGGUGUAGCGGUGAAAUGCGCAGAUAUCAGGAGGAACACCGGUGGCGAAGGCGGUUCUCUGGGCAUUACCUGACGCUGAGGAGCGAAAGCAUGGGGAGCGAACAGG